GGAUGCAAUCAUACCAGCACUAAAGCACCGGAUCCCAUCAGAACUCCGAAGUUAAGCUUGCUUGGGCGAGAGUAGUACUAGGAUGGGUGACCUCCUGGGAAGUCCUCGUGUUGCAUCCCUUCUUUUUGCCGUCCAUCGCCGCGGCGUCGGUUGUAACGUAAAGAGUCACGUGGCUGCGCCUACGUCGGCCCCGCGUUUCUCUCGCGGCACGCUACACCUCCUUGCGGGGCCUAUAAAAGCGGCAAACGGUGCGCCGGCCUGCGCGAGCACAAGAGUGGCGGGGGCGCAAGGCAUGUC
rnacentral:rRNA from 1 species